rnacentral:rRNA from 1 species
AUUGAACGCUGGCGGAAUGCUUUACACAUGCAAGUCGAGCGGCAGCACGGGGGCAAUCCUGGUGGCGAGCGGCGAACGGGUGAGUAAUACAUCGGAACAUGCCCAGUCGUGGGGGAUAACACUUCGAAAGAAGUGCUAAUACCGCAUACGUCCUGAGGGGGAAAGCGGGGGAUCGCAAGACCUCGCGCGAUUGGAGUGGCCGAUGUCAGAUUAGCUAGUUGGUGGGGUAAAGGCCUACCAAGGCAACGAUCUGUAGCUGGUCUGAGAGGAUGAUCAGCCACACUGGGACUGAGACACGGCCCAGACUCCUACGGGAGGCAGCAGUGGGGAAUUUUGGACAAUGGGGGCAACCCUGAUCCAGCCAUUCCGCGUGAGUGAAGAAGGCCUUCGGGUUGUAAAGCUCUUUCGGCAGGAACGAAACGGUGAGCUCUAACAUAGCUUGCUAAUGACGGUACCUGAAGAAGAAGCACCGGCUAACUACGUG